rnacentral:rRNA from 1 species
CCUACGGGUGGCAGCAGUGGGGAAUAUUGCACAAUGGGGGAAACCCUGAUGCAGCGACGCCGCGUGAGUGAAGAAGUAUUUCGGUAUGUAAAGCUCUAUCAGCAGGGAAGAAAAUGACGGUACCUGACUAAUUAGCCCCGGCUAACAACGUGCCAGCAGCCGCGGUAAUACGUAGGGGGCAAGCGUGCUCCGGUUCUACUGGGUGUAAAGUGAGCGUAGAUGGCAUGGUAAGCCAGAAGUGAAAAACCGGGGCUCAACCCCGCGGAUUGCUUUUGGUACUAGCAGGCUGGAGUGAUGGAGGGGUAAGCGGAAUUCCAAGUGAAGCGGUGAAAUGCGUAGAUAUUAGGAGGAACACCGGUGGCGAAGGCGGCUUACUGGACAGAAACUGACGCUGAGGGACGAAAGCGUGGGGAGCAAACAGGAUUAGAUACCCUUGUAGUC